rnacentral:rRNA from 1 species
UACAGAGGGUGCGAGCGUUAAUCGGAAUUACUGGGCGUAAAGCGCACGUAGUCGGCUUUGCAAGUCGGUUGUGAAAUCCCCGGGCUCAACCUGGGAACUGCAUCCGAGACUGCAUUGCUAGAGUAUGGGAGAGGAAAGCGGAAUUUCUGGUGUAGCAGUGAAAUGCGUAGAUAUCAGAAGGAACAUCAGUGGCGAAGGCGGCUUUCUGGACCAAUACUGACGAUCAGGAGCGAAAGCCAGGGGAGCAAACGGG